rnacentral:rRNA from 1 species
GACGAACGCUGGCGGCGUGCUUAACACAUGCAAGUCGAGCGAUGAAGUUCCUUCGGGAGUGGAUUAGCGGCGGACGGGUGAGUAACACGUGGGUAACCUGCCUCGUAGAGGGGAAUAGCCUUCCGAAAGGAAGAUUAAUACCGCAUAAGAUUGUAGCUUCGCAUGAAGCAGCAAUUAAAGGAGAAAUCCGCUAUGAGAUGGACCCGCGUCGCAUUAGCUAGUUGGUGAGGUAACGGCUCACCAAGGCGACGAUGCGUAGCCGACCUGGGAGGGUGAUCGGCCACAUUGGGACUGAGACACGGCCCAGACUCCUACGGGAGGCAGCAGUGGGGAAUAUUGCACAAUGGGGGAAACCCUGAUGCAGCAACGCCGCGUGAGUGAUGACGGUCUUCGGAUUGUAAAACUCUGUCUUUAGGGACGAUAAUGACGGUACCUGAGGAGGAAGCCACGGCUAACUACGUGCCAGCAGCCGCAGUAA